AAUCUGUGGGCAGGAAACAAAAUGCAGUUAAACCUACCUGAAAAGUUCUAUUCAAUUUUUUUUUUGACAUGUUGAAGUUGGAAAAGUGCAAACCUGUUCAAAGUGCUCAAACGUAAUUCCUUCAUAGAAAUCUUCUGGAGCCUGGAAGGAUGAAAGGACAAAUGACUCUGUUGCUUUGCCGCCACUGUGAGAUCUUAUUUUGACGGGUUAGUGUUGCUAAGUUCUGUUACCAUGUGGGGAACAUUUGUGCUCGCCACCUCCAGCAUGGCAGCAUCUGCUAUCGCCUUGGCAGCCUCCAGGCCGAUGGCGCCGCUCUUUUUCAGAAGCUCCUCCACUACCUUGGAUGAGAGCGGAACAGCAUUAGGAGUCUUUAAAUCCACACUGGGGUUUAAAAGCAAGAGGGUAAUGGUGCCAUCGUUGUCUGUGUCGUGCAUGUUGAACAGGACUGAGAAGACAGAAAAGAAAUAUUAUUAAGUGUUGGAGGCCGGAAGUGGGACAUGACCAUGAGAAACUGCUCGAAGCCAAUCUCCUGGAAGGCGCCCACCUCAUUCUGAUGCUGGUUCCUGGGUCGCAGUCAAAAGACAUCAACAUUUAGGGAAAAUUCGACCAAUACUGCUUUAGAAAGGUAUACACACACCAGUAUUUCCAGUAUUUGUAAAUAAGCCAACUGUAUCUAAUGCAUCCAGUGCAUUUCUCAAGAAUUGAUGUAAAUCCAGAAAAUAUGAACUUCCAUCAUCUGAUUCAAUGGAUACAAUUAUACCCUGAGAAUCUCAUUUUCAACAGUCCAAACCAAAUCGGAAAGUGAAAAGGCUCAUUGAAGUAUUUUUUUGGUUCCUGAAGUUCCACUUCUGCACAUGCUUGUGUGCUUGUGAGCAGAAGUCACAUGUGCUCUCAGAUGACUGUUUCACUGGACGGUCCACAUUGCGGUUUGUUUUGUUGUAUUUGCGCUUUCCAAAGAAUGACAAACUGGUUUUAAAAUGUAAACGACAAGCAAUGAAACCCUCAGUUUUAACUUGUUUCUUCUCAUUAAAGGAUGGAUUACA